rnacentral:rRNA from 1 species
GACGAACGCUGGCGGCGUGCCUAAUACAUGCAAGUCGAACGCUGAAGGAGGAGCUUGCUUCUCCGGAUGAGUUGCGAACGGGUGAGUAACGCGUAGGUAACCUGCCUGGUAGCGGGGAUAACUAUUGGAAACGAUAGCUAAUACCGCAUAACAGUAGAUGUUGCAUGACAUUUGCUUAAAAGGUGCAAUUGCAUCACUACCAGAUGGACCUGCGUUGUAUUAGCUAGUUGGUGAGGUAACGGCUCACCAAGGCGACGAUACAUAGCCGACCUGAGAGGGUGAUCGGCCACACUGGGACUGAGACACGGCCCAGACUCCUACGGGAGGCAGCAGUAGGGAAUCUUCGGCAAUGGACGGAAGUCUGACCGAGCAACGCCGCGUGAGUGAAGAAGGUUUUCGGAUCGUAAAGCUCUGUUGUAAGAGAAGAACGAGUGUGAGAGUGGAAAGUUCACACUGUGACGGUAUCUUACCAGAAAGGGACGGCUAACUACGUG